UUAAGGGCGCACGGUGGAUGCCUUGGCACUAGAAGCCGACGAAGGACGUUACUAACGACGAUAUGCUUUGGGGAGCUGUAAGUAAGCUUUGAUCCAGAGAUUUCCGAAUGGGGAAACCCAGCACGAGUUAUGUCGUGUUAUCGAUAUGUGAAUACAUAGCAUAUCUGAAGGCAGACGCGGAGAACUGAAACAUCUUAGUACCCGCAGGAAGAGAAAGAAAAAUCGAUUCCCUGAGUAGCGGCGAGCGAAACGGGAAGAGCCCAAACCAACGAGCUUGCUUGUUGGGGUUGUAGGACACUCUAUACGGAGUUACAAAAGAACAGACUAGACGAAUCAUCUGGAAAGAUGAAUCAAAGAAGGUAAUAAUCCUGUAGUCGAAAGUUUGUUCACUCUUGAGUGGAUCCUGAGUACGACGGAACACGAGAAAUUCCGUCGGAAUCUGGGAGGACCAUCUCCCAAGGCUAAAUACUCUCUAGUGACCGAUAGUGAACCAGUACCGUGAGGGAAAGGUGAAAAGUACCCCGGAAGGGGAGUGAAAUAGAACUUGAAACCGUGUGCUUACAAGUAGUCAGAGCCCGUUAAUGGGUGAUGGCGUGCCUUUUGUAGAAUGAACCGGCGAGUUACGAUUUGAUGCAAGGUUAAGCAGUGAAUGUGGAGCCGUAGCGAAAGCGAGUCUGAAUAGGGCGUUGAGUAUUUGGUCGUAGACCCGAAACCAGGUGAUCUACCCAUGACCAGGUUGAAGUUCAGGUAACACUGAAUGGAGGACCGAACCGACUUACGUUGAAAAGUGAGCGGAUGAGUUGUGGGUAGCGGAGAAAUUCCAAUCGAACCUGGAGAUAGCUGGUUCUCUCCGAAAUAGCUUUAGGGCUAGCCUCAAGUGAUGAUUAUUGGAGGUAGAGCACUGUUUGGACGAGGGGCCCUUAUCGGGUUACCGAAUUCAGACAAACUCCGAAUGCCAAUCAAUUUAACUUGGGAGUCAGAACGCGGGUGAUAAGGUCCGUGUUCGAAAGGGAAACAGCCCAGACCACCAGCUAAGGUCCCAAAAUAUAUGUUAAGUGGAAAAGGAUGUGGCGUUGCCCAGACAACUAGGAUGUUGGCUUAGAAGCAGCCAUCAUUUAAAGAGUGCGUAAUAGCUCACUAGUCGAGUGACACUGCGCCGAAAAUGUACCGGGGCUAAACAUAUUACCGAAGCUGUGGAUUGUCCGUAAGGACAAUGGUAGGAGAGCGUUCUAAGGGCGUUGAAGCAUGAUCGCAAGGACAUGUGGAGCGCUUAGAAGUGAGAAUGCCGGUGUGAGUAGCGAAAGACGGGUGAGAAUCCCGUCCACCGAUUGACUAAGGUUUCCAGAGGAAGGCUCGUCCGCUCUGGGUUAGUCGGGUCCUAAGCUGAGGCCGAUAGGCGUAGGCGAUGGAUAACAGGUUGAUAUUCCUGUACCACCAUUAUUCGUUUUAAGCGAUGGGGGGACGCAGUAGGAUAGGCGAAGCGUACGAUUGGAUUGUACGUCCAAGCAGUGAGAUUGAGUGUUAGGCAAAUCCGGCACUCUUAAGAUUGAGCUGUGAUGGGGAGAGGAAAUUGUUUCCUCGAGUCGUUGAUUUCACACUGCCAAGAAAAGCCUCUAGCUAGAAUUGUGGUGCCCGUACCGCAAACCGACACAGGUAGUCAAGAUGAGAAUUCUAAGGUGAGCGAGCGAACUCUCGUUAAGGAACUCGGCAAAAUGACCCCGUAACUUCGGGAGAAGGGGUGCUCUUUAGGGUUAACGCCCAGGAGAGCCGCAGUGAAUAGGCCCAAGCGACUGUUUAUCAAAAACACAGGUCUCUGCUAAACCGUAAGGUGAUGUAUAGGGGCUGACGCCUGCCCGGUGCUGGAAGGUUAAGAGGAGUGGUUAGCUUCUGCGAAGCUACGAAUCGAAGCCCCAGUAAACGGCGGCCGUAACUAUAACGGUCCUAAGGUAGCGAAAUUCCUUGUCGGGUAAGUUCCGACCCGCACGAAAGGCGUAACGAUUUGGGCACUGUCUCAACGAGAGACUCGGUGAAAUCAUAGUACCUGUGAAGAUGCAGGUUACCCGCGACAGGACGGAAAGACCCCGUGGAGCUUUACUGUAGUCUGAUAUUGAAAUUCGGCACAGCUUGUACAGGAUAGGUAGGAGCCUGAGAUACGUGAGCGCUAGCUUACGUGGAGGCGUUGGUGGGAUACUACCCUCGCUGUGUUGGAUUUCUAACCCGCACCAUUUAUCAUGGUGGGAGACAGUGUCAGAUGGGCAGUUUGACUGGGGCGGUCGCCUCCUAAAGAGUAACGGAGGCGCUCAAAGGUUUCCUCAGAAUGGUUGGAAAUCAUUCAUAGAGUGUAAAGGCAUAAGGAAGCUUGACUGCGAGACUUACAAGUCGAGCAGGGUCGAAAGACGGACUUAGUGAUCCGGUGGUUCCGCAUGGAAGGGCCAUCGCUCAACGGAUAAAAGCUACCCCGGGGAUAACAGGCUUAUCUCCCCCAAGAGUUCACAUCGACGGGGAGGUUUGGCACCUCGAUGUCGGCUCAUCGCAUCCUGGGGCUGUAGUCGGUCCCAAGGGUUGGGCUGUUCGCCCAUUAAAGCGGUACGCGAGCUGGGUUCAGAACGUCGUGAGACAGUUCGGUCCCUAUCCGUCGUGGGCGUAGGAAAUUUGAGAGGAGCUGUCCUUAGUACGAGAGGACCGGGAUGGACAUACCUCUGGUGUACCAGUUGUCGUGCCAACGGCAUCGCUGGGUAGCUAUGUAUGGACGGGAUAAGUGCUGAAAGCAUCUAAGCAUGAAGCCCCCCUCAAGAUGAGAUUUCCCAACUUCGGUUAUAAGAUCCCUCAAAGAUGAUGAGGUUAAUAGGUUCGAGGUGGAAGCAUAGCGAUAUGUGCAGCUGACGAAUACUAAUCGAUCGAAGACUUAAUCAA
rnacentral:rRNA from 1 species